rnacentral:tRNA from 1 species
GCGUCGGUACCCAAGUGGUCAACGGGGAGGCGCUGUAAACGCCUUGAUUUCGGUCUUCGUUGGUUCGAAUCCAACCCGGCGCA